UGGGAUGUAGCUCAGUUGGUAGAAUGUUUGCCUAGCAUGCAUGAAGCCCUAGGUUCAAUCCCCAGCACCACAU
rnacentral:tRNA from 1 species